CGGUCGGCUUUAGCUGACGCGGUUACUCCGUUCCGUCAGACUUUCUGAUUCCUAUAUUGGGGUUUGAGACCCGUGGAUGCUUUCUCACCCUUUU
ensembl:vault_RNA Vault Vault RNA